rnacentral:rRNA from 1 species
UACGGAGGGGGCUAGCGUUGUUCGGAAUUACUGGGCGUAAAGAGCGUGUAGGCGGCUAUUUAAGUCCUGCGUGAAAUCCUGCGGCUCAACCGCAGACGGUCGUGGGAAACUGGAUGGCUAGAGUGCGGGAGAGGAGAGUGGAAUUCCCGGUGUAGCGGUGAAAUGCGCAGAUAUCGGGAAGAACACCCGUGGCGAAGGCGGCUCUCUGGAACGCAACUGACGCUGAGACGCGAAAGCGUGGGGAGCAAACAGG